rnacentral:rRNA from 1 species
GCGCGAAACCUCCGCAAUGCGCUCACGCGUGACGGGGUCACCCCGAGUGCCACCCUCGUGGUGGCUUUUGCGCAGUGUAAACAGCUGCGCGAAUAAGCGGGGGGCAAGACGGGUGUCAGCCGCCGCGGUAAUACCCGCUCCGCGAGUGGUGAGGACUAUUACUGGGCUUAAAGCGUCCGUAGCCGGCUCGGCGUGCUCCGCGUUAAAUCCAGCAGCCUAACUGCUGGGC